rnacentral:rRNA from 1 species
CGUUGGUGGAGUGAUUUGUUUGGUUGAUUCCGUGAACGAACGAGAUCUCAGCCUCUAAAUAGGGAGCGGGUCGAUUACAGGAGAUGUCGCAGGGCUCCGGCUUCAUGCGCUCUCCUUGACGCCGCUUGCCUUCUUAGAGGAACAUCGUGUGUCUUUUAACACGAUGGAGCGAGCCAAUAGCAGGU